GCCUCCGUAGCACAGCGGACAGUGUACGCCGCUGUGGUGCGGUAGGUACCGGGUUCGAGCCCCGGGAAAGGCA